UACGUAGGGGGCGAGCGUUACCCGGAAUCACUGGGCGUAAAGGGAGCGUAGGCGGAACUGUAAGUUAGAAGUUUAAUACAUGGGCUCAACCCGUGGUCUGCUUUUAAUACUGCGGUUCUUGAGUAUGGGAGAGGGCGAUGGAAUUCCAGGUGUAGCGGUGGAAUGCGUAGAUAUCUGGAAGAACACCAGUAGCGAAGGCGGUCGCCUGGCCCAAUACUGACGCUGAGGCUCGAAAGCGUGGGGAGCAAAUAGG
rnacentral:rRNA from 1 species